ACGGGAGGCAGCAGUGGGGAAUAUUGCACAAUGGGGGAAACCCUGAUGCAGCGACGCCGCGUGAGUGAAGAAGUAUUUCGGUAUGUAAAGCUCUAUCAGCAGGGAAGAUAAUGACGGUACCUGACUAAGAAGCCCCGGCUAACUACGUGCCAGCAGCCGCGGUAAUACGUAGGGGGCAAGCGUUAUCCGGAUUUACUGGGUGUAAAGGGAGCGUAGGUGGUAUGGCAAGUCAGAAGUGAAAUGCGGGGGCUCAACCCCUGAACUGCUUUUGAAACUGUCAAACUAGAGUGCUGGAGAGGUAAGUGGAAUUCCUAGUGUAGCGGUGAAAUGCGUAGAUAUUAGGAGGAACACCAGUGGCGAAGGCGACUUACUGGACAGUAACUGACACUAAGGCUCGAAAACGUGGGGAGCAAACAGGAUUAGAUACCCUGGUA
rnacentral:rRNA from 1 species